rnacentral:rRNA from 1 species
GAUGCAUUGAGCUAACCCGUACUAAUUACCCGUGAGGCUUAACCAUACAACACCCAAGAAGUGUUCU